UAUUUUAAAAGAGAAAAGAAAACCAAAAUUAUUGUCUAAAAAAAAAAGUAAAACAAAAAAAUGAAAGACUGGUCAACGAGGUGUUCCGCGUUUAUGCAACAAUUGCAACAUAAAAAUAAUAUAUAUAUCUAUAUAACAUAUAUAUACAUACAUAUAUAUAUAUAUAUGAGAUUAUAGAUGAAACAGAAACCCCAAAUUAUGGUACUCCAGAUUGUAUAUUGAUGUAACCGUGGCAGAAGUGACCCUACCCUGAGCGAUAGGCAUACAUACCACAUAGGUUCCCACUCGAUCAUUUCGUGUCUCAAAUUCGGCAGCAAAACUACGCAUACAUACGUAAGAGGGCAGGACAGGGCAUGGGCAUGGGCAGAGGCAGGGCUACUCCCGAGGUCCCACGAUCCCUUGAUCCCCCAAUUAAAGUUAAUGAAGUACGAAUUUUAAGUAACGCUGAAUUGCCCCCCUUGGGUCCAGACCAGUCCGCUGCAGUAGCCAAAGGGCGGAGGAGUAUAAUGGAUUGAGGCGGAGUAGAGUGGAGUGGAUUGGAUUGGAGUGGAGUGGGUCUGGGUGCCAUUGCCGUUGCCGUUUGCUGGAGAAGCAAUCUAUAAACAUUUUCUACAUAUUUACAGUCGAGCAGAGUAACCAAAGGCCCGAAGAUGGUGCAGUAAGGCUGGCUGGUAGAAGAUUUGGCAGCAAGGAUGCAUAAGGAAAAGUAAAUAAAGUAUACUAAAACUAAAGUAAAUACAUUUUAAUUUCGUUUAGAGUUUCGUUUGCAAAUGUGCUUAGCAAUUUCCCUGCUCCCUGCGCCCCCAAUCCCAAUCAACACCCCACACUACCCCUUCCCUACCACCAACAUCAUCAAGUAUGAUUUUCCCUGGCAAAAGCUGAGCAGAACAUCAUAAGCGUUUAGUUUAAGUGUAGACUAAAUGGCGGACGGAUGGCCAGCCAUAGCAUAGCAGAAAUAUAUAGAGAAACCAAGCCAAACCCCAACCCCAACCCCAGGCUAAAGCAAAUAUACAUAUACAUAAAUACGUAUGUAUACGUAUACUAUAUACACUUACGUGUUGGUGGGUGGGGAAGGAGGCAGUUGGCAGGGCGGCGAGAGAGAACACGUUUUAUGUAGGCAAAUAAGAGCAUAACUCGUAAACAUUUUGUGUAUAGUUUAGUGAAAUUAAUUAGUUUAAUGUUAAAACAACUCAAAAAGUAAACUACAUUACAGAAAUUUAUAUACAUAUGUGUAUAUAUAUAUAUUAAAUUAUAUACAUGGACAUAUAUAUAUAUAGAUAUAUUUUAAGAAAUAUAAAUGUAUGGCAAAACUAUUUACGUGACAGUUGUGUGUGUGCGUGCGUGUGUGUGUGUGAGUCAUUGUGAGUUAAAUUUAAAUGUAUUCAGUCUUAAGAGUAUUCGUCAUUCGGGACGUGGAGCCGUUUUUGAGAAGGAGGAUUAUGCAUAGCAUCUACGAAUUAAGGCACAGCAUUAUAAAUUACAACUAAAGAAUUACAUUUAUUUGAGCUACAGACGCACGAAAGGUUACUAGAGAGCUGAGUGAAAGGAUGGAGAGAUGGCGCUGGAGAGAAGAGUCUAGAGAGGCAGCUUGAGAGCG